GCUACAACCAGUGGAGUGAGGACAGAAUGAAGCUCAUAACACAUUACAACAGGCUGAUACAUAAAAUCAGACUUCCCGUCCUUGUGUUUUGCCGUUUCCACCUCUCUCCUGUGAACAUAUUGUUUGGUGGGUUCCCUGGUCUUUGGUCUUUAUCUCCCAUCAAGCGUCCCCGGCCGUCUCCUGUGUUCUUCCGUCAUUUGUGUUUCUUUCCUUCUCUGUGGAUUUUGAAUUACUGCCUGUACCUGUCUCGGAUUUGUUUGCUUUAUAGACUGCCUGCCUCUCCGUUGGUUAAGUUUGAUCUCUUUCUUGUUAAUAAACAUCACAAACUAUACCUCC